UACGGAGGGUGCGAGCGUUGUCCGGAAUCAUUGGGCGGAAAGGGCGCGUAGGUGGCCACUUCAAGCGUGCGGUGAAAGUCGGGGGCUCAACCCCUGAUCGGCCGUGCGAACUGGGGGGCUGGAGCACUGUAGAGGCAGGCGGAAUUCCGGGUGUAGCGGUGGAAUGCGUAGAGAUCCGGAAGAACACCGGUGGCGAAGGCGGCCUGCUGGGCAGUUUUGCUGACACUGAGGCGCGACAGCGUGGGGAGCAAACAGG
rnacentral:rRNA from 1 species